GACGAACGCUGGCGGCGUGCUUAACACAUGCAAGUCGAGCGGAAAGGCCCUGCUUUUGUGGGGUGCUCGAUUGGCGAACGGGUGAGUAAAACGUGAGUAAACUGCCCUUGACUUUGGGAUAACUUCUGGGAACUCGGGCUAAUACCCGAUAGGAGCUCCUGAUGCAUGGGGGGCGUUGGAAAGUUUCGGCGGUUGGGGAUGGUCUCGCGGCUUCUCUGCUUGGUGGUGGGGUAGUGGCUUACCAAGGCUUUGACGGGUAGCCUGCCUGAGAGGGUGACCGGCCACAUUGGGUAUGGGAUACGGCCGAGACGCCUACGGGGGGAAGCGGGGGAGAAUAUUGCACAAUGGGCGGAAGCGUGAUGCAGCAACGCCGCGUGCGGGAUGACGGCAUUCGGGUUGUAAACCGCUGUCGCCAGUGACGAAGCGUGAGUGACGGUAAAGGGUAAAGAAGCACCGGCUAACUACG
rnacentral:rRNA from 1 species